AGUAUUUAUGAAAAUGAAUGAAAACAUGAGAGCUGUAGUACCGACGUUCUUUUUGAUGUUCUGAUCUCAUCUUUCUGGUCUGUCUGCGGUCAAAGGACACAUCAUUUUAAACUUUAAACAAGUCUCGCUGUUUUUCUGGUACAUUCUGUUACAUACUAUUACACUUAGUUACAGCAUGUUACAGCUGUGAAAAAAUAUUGCCUCUGUACUCUAAACAAGACUUCAAUAAAAAAUAACUUGAUUAGUUAUUUUAAGUGAAAGGUUAGUUGAUUCAGGCCAUUUUACGAUCAAAAUUGUUUAACAUCUCUUAAUUUUUAAUAUAUGCUCCUGCUUAAAUAUUACUUGUUUUCAUUUACAAAGAGGUCAGACAAAAUAUCUUUUUUUUAUAUAUAAAAUAUUUUUUUUAUAUAUAUAUUUGUAAAUACAUUGAAAUAACUGUAACCAUACAAAUAUCAGCUAUGAAUAACUAAAACAAAGCCUAACAACAUGCACACAUGACUCUAACUCUUUCACAAACCAGACUGACCCCAGGUAUGGAUAUCUCAAAUACCCAACUCACAAUAGUUAGAUAUCUUGGCGCUACCGUUCUUGUCCUCAUAAAUUUUAUGCUUCUUUCCCAUUUUAUUCACUUUUUUUUUUUAAAUACAGUGUUUUAACAUGUACAUUCUUUUUGUCUGUAAUUUUAAUUUUAAACGUAUUUAUUUUCCAUUACCGUUUUACCCAUUACUGUUUCACCCAUUCCAUCUUGUCCGAAAAUCAGUGCUUUCUACACAUUUAGGUGUAAUGCGAUGUUGAAAUUGCACUCUCGCUGUUCUCUGCAUCUCUUUUUUCGUACCAUUUAAUUGAUUUAAUAAAAAGGUGGUGUAACCACACUCUUACUCAUUUUAUGUAGUCUACUGUAUUAUAUUUUACCGUAUAGAAUGCGGAGCAAAGAUCUUUGAAACAUUGUAGCCUGUAAAACAUUUUAAUGACUUUAAACGCCAUAUAUAGACGUUUUACCCUCCAGGGGUUAGACACAGAGGGUGUUCACAUUCUCUCUACACUGUAAUGAAUUGCUGUAAAAAUUACAGCAAUAUUUUACAGCCGCUGGCUGUAUUUUGAUAAUACAGCAUAUUGCUGUAAACUGCAAUGCAUUCCGGGGGCGUGGCGGUUUAAAUCAAAUUUACAGAAUAUUGCUGUAAAUUUCAAAUAUACAGAGGCAUUGUGGGAUCUUCAACGGUCGAGAUUCGUGUAGCAGCAAGAGGAUUGACUUACAACUGUGGUAUUUAUCCGGAGAGAGGAACAAAGACGAAAGGAAAAGUGCCAUCUAACAAGCCAGACAGUUCAGAAGAAACGGGUUGCGGUCAACCUACAUGUUGCCACUCUUCAGUGCAAAGUGAUAGAUUUUCAGUGGAAUUUCUGAAAUCCUCUCUUUGAAUCCUGGGAUGGAACAUCAUCUGGAGCAUUUUUGAUCACAAGUUUGUUGGACUUGUUGUUUGGCCAUGUUGGUCUGUUCAUAAAGUGAUGAAAGUGAUCUGGUUUUUAAGAAAUGUUUUUAUAUGACCAUGUUGCUCAAGUUAUAGUUAUAACGCAGUUUGCAUAUUUCUUUGUGUGAAGGGCCAUGAUGGCCAAUAAGUAAUUUAAAAAUGUUUUCAUGACAAUUUUAUGUCCAUUUAAAAAAUAAAAUGAUUUUCUAAAUAAAAAA